GUUGAACGCUGGCGGCGUGCCUAACACAUGCAAGUCGAACGAGUGGCGGAUGGGCGAGUAACACGUGGGAACCUGCCUUUCACUGGGGAAUAACACUGGCAAACUAGUGCCAAUACCGCAUAGUGAAAGAUGGUCUCGGGUGGGAUUAGCUAGCAGGUGGGGUAACGGCUCACCUAGGUGACGAUCUCUAGCUGGUCUGAGAGGAUGAUCAGCCACACUGGAACUGAGACACGGCCCAGACUCCUACGGGAGGCAGCAGUGGGGAAUAUUGCACAAUGGGCGCAAGCCUGAUGCAGCCAUGCCGCGUGUAUGAAGAAGGCCUUAGGGUUGUAAAGUACUUUCAGCGGGGAGGCGUUACCCGCAGAAGAAGCACCGGCUAACUCCGUGCCAGCAGCCGCGGUAAUUC
rnacentral:rRNA from 1 species